rnacentral:rRNA from 1 species
AAAUUGAAGAGUUUGAUCAUGGCUCAGAUUGAACGCUGGCGGCAGGCCUAACACAUGCAAGUCGAACGGUAACAGGAAGAAGCUUGCUUCUUUGCUGACGAGUGGCGGACGGGUGAGUAAUGUCUGGGAAACUGCCUGAUGGAGGGGGAUAACUACUGGAAACGGUAGCUAAUACCGCAUAAUGUCGCAAGACCAAAGAGGGGGACCUUCGGGCCUCUUGCCAUCGGAUGUGCCCAGAUGGGAUUAGCUAGUAGGUGGGGUAACGGCUCACCUAGGCGACGAUCCCUAGCUGGUCUGAGAGGAUGACCAGCCACACUGGAACUGAGACACGGUCCAGACUCCUACGGGAGGCAGCAGUGGGGAAUAUUGCACAAUGGGCGCAAGCCUGAUGCAGCCAUGCCGCGUGUAUGAAGAAGGCCUUCGGGUUGUAAAGUACUUUCAGCGGGGAGGAAGGGAGUAAAGUUAAUACCUUUGCUCAUUGACGUUACCCGCAGAAGAAGCACCGGCUAACUCCGUGCCAGCAGCCGCGGUAAUACGGAGGGUGCAAGCGUUAAUCGGAAUUACUGGGCGUAAAGCGCACGCAGGCGGUUUGUUAAGUCAGAUGUGAAAUCCCCGGGCUCAACCUGGGAACUGCAUCUGAUACUGGCAAGCUUGAGUCUCGUAGAGGGGGGUAGAAUUCAGGUGUAGCGGUGAAAUGCGUAGAGAUCUGGAGGAAUACCGGUGGCGAAGGCGGCCCCCUGGACGAAGACUGACGCUCAGGUGCGAAAGCGUGGGGAGCAAACAGGAUUAGAUACCCUGGUAGUCCACGCCGUAAACGAUGUCGACUUGGAGGUUGUGCCCUUGAGGCGUGGCUUCCGGAGCUAACGCGUUAAGUCGACCGCCUGGGAGUACGGCCGCAAGGUUAAAACUCAAAUGAAUUGACGGGGGCCCGCACAAGCGGUGGAGCAUGUGGUUUAAUUCGAUGCAACGCGAAGAACCUUACCUGGUCUUGACAUCCACAGAACUUUCCAGAGAUGGAUUGGUGCCUUCGGGAACUGUGAGACAGGUGCUGCAUGGCUGUCGUCAGCUCGUGUUGUGAAAUGUUGGGUUAAGUCCCGCAACGAGCGCAACCCUUAUCCUUUGUUGCCAGCGGUCCGGCCGGGAACUCAAAGGAGACUGCCAGUGAUAAACUGGAGGAAGGUGGGGAUGACGUCAAGUCAUCAUGGCCCUUACGACCAGGGCUACACACGUGCUACAAUGGCGCAUACAAAGAGAAGCGACCUCGCGAGAGCAAGCGGACCUCAUAAAGUGCGUCGUAGUCCGGAUUGGAGUCUGCAACUCGACUCCAUGAAGUCGGAAUCGCUAGUAAUCGUGGAUCAGAAUGCCACGGUGAAUACGUUCCCGGGCCUUGUACACACCGCCCGUCACACCAUGGGAGUGGGUUGCAAAAGAAGUAGGUAGCUUAACCUUCGGGAGGGCGCUUACCACUUUGUGAUUCAUGACUGGGGUGAAGUCGUAACAAGGUAACCGUAGGGGAACCUGCGGUUGGAUCACCUCCUUA